rnacentral:rRNA from 1 species
CCUACGGGGGUCAGCAGUGAGGAAUAUUGGUCAAUGGGCGCGAGCCUGAACCAGCCAAGUAGCGUGAAGGAUGACUGCCCUACGGGUUGUCAACUUCUUUUAUAAAGGAAUAAAGUGAGGCACGUGUGCCUUUUUGUAUGUACUUUAUGAAUAAGGAUCGGCUAACUCCGGGCCAUCAGCCGCGGUAAUCCGGAGGAUCCGAGCGUUAUCCGGCUUUAUGGGGUUUAAAGGGAGCGUAGAUGGGUUGUUAAGUCAGUUGUGAAAGUUUGCGGAUCAACCGUAAAAUUGCAAUUGAUACUGGCAGCCUGGAGUACAGUUGAGGUAGGCGGAAUUCGUGGUGUAGCGGUGAAAUGCUUAGAGAUCACGAAGAACUCCGAUUGCGAAGGCAGCUUACUAAACUGCCACUGACAUUGAUGCUCGAAAGUGUGGGUAUCAAACAGGAUUAGAUACCCCAGUAGUC